rnacentral:lncRNA from 1 species
AGCUGCUCCUGCUGCUACUUCUGUUGCUACUGCAAGUACUGCUGCAGCUUCGACUGCUGUUGGUUCUACAGGCACCACUGGCAUUGCUGCUGGCUACUUUGCAGCCGCUACCACUGUUCCUGGCUCUUCUACUGCUGAUGUUGGCUCCGCGGCUAUCGUGGCCGC